rnacentral:rRNA from 1 species
UACGAAGGGGGCUAGCGUUGCUCGGAAUUACUGGGCGUAAAGCGCACGUAGGCGGCUUUCUAAGUCGGGGGUGAAAUCCUGGAGCUCAACUCCAGAACUGCCUUCGAUACUGGAAAGCUCGAGUCCGGGAGAGGUGAGUGGAACUGCGAGUGUAGAGGUGAAAUUCGUAGAUAUUCGCAAGAACACCAGUGGCGAAGGCGGCAUCCUGGACCGAGAUUGACGCUGAGGCGCGAAAGCCAGGGGAGCAAACGGG